UACAGAGACUGCAAGCGUUAUUCGGAUUCACUGGGCGUAAAGGGUGCGCAGGCGGCCGGGUGUGUCAGAUGUGAAAUCCCGAGGCUUAACCUCGGAACUGCGUCUGAAACUACUCGGCGAGAGUACUGGAGAGGGUAACGGAAUUCACGGUGUAGCAGUGAAAUGCGUAGAUAUCGUGAGGAACACCAGAGGCGAAGGCGGUUACCUGGACAGUUACUGACGCUCAGGCACGAAAGCAUGGGGAGCAAAAGGG
rnacentral:rRNA from 1 species